rnacentral:rRNA from 1 species
UACGGGGGGGGGCAAGCGUUGUUCGGAAUUACUGGGCGUAAAGGGCGCGUAGGCGGCCUGUUAAGUCGAACGUGAAAUCCCCGGGCUCAACCCGGGAACUGCGUCCGAUACUGGCAGGCUUGAAUCCGGGAGAGGGAUGCGGAAUUCCAGGUGUAGCGGUGAAAUGCGUAGAUAUCGUCAAGAACACCGAUAGUGUAGACAGCUUACUAGGCUGAAACUGACGCUGAGGCACGAAAGUGUGGGGAUCAAACAGG